rnacentral:lncRNA from 1 species
AGAUAACUGAGGACAAUGAACCUGCCUGGGCAUAGACUUCCUUAAGGCCCCAGUGUGCGAUGUUCCCCAAUAGGUUCUUAUGAUGAAGGAAUGCAGACCCGGUGUUGCCAGAAAUCUGGAUUUUUAAGUGAAUGAUCACAAAUGACUCAAUUUGCAAUUUGAAAGCAUUAUGUGGAAUAUCACAGUAUACGUCAACCAAAACAAGCCUAGGAGUCAAAUGCCAUUUGCAGAUGCUGGCCUAGGGUCAGAGAGGCUCAUGGAAGGGUUGCCUCUGAGUAAGGGCAUUUGAGAUGGGACUAUGAAUGAGUCCAGAUGGUUUUCUACAGUGGGCCUUUGCCAAUCCCUUUCCUCUUCUCCAGAAGAAAUUGAGCUAUGCUUUGUGCCAUUCUGGGAGAAAUGCCUGUUUCCCUCUGAGAUCAAGGAGCUUAUCAGUGUGCAGAGGAGGAAGCUAGCUGAGAAUGGGAGUGUGGAGCACGGAUACAAAAGCAGCAAGGAUAGAGCAUGAACACAGGAGAGCACGAAGUUCUAGCACAUUUGAAGACAUGCCUAAAGUCUUGCCAUGAGAACCUUCAACAUUUUUCCGCCUUUCCUAAAAUCGUUCCUUUGCUUACUGCAUAUUGUCAGUACUACCUUCAACCAAAAACGUAGUUAAUGGAUUUGAAAUCCACACUCUCAAGUCUUAAUACACCGUGUUACCUGUGACUUCGACUGACAUAUCCUCUCCAGGGGAUCAGAUGGGAAAGGUGCCUGACAGGGACACUGGAGAAUUUCAGUCCUGAUUUGAAAUGAAAGAUUUAAGCCAACUGAUGUCGAAACAUGGUGUGUUCAGAGGACCCGCUGGAGGAAUGUAGCGUGCCUCUCCCCAUUUAUCAAGAUGUUUACAAAUCCUGUUAGAAGUUGAAAGUAAAUUAUCAUCCUGCUGCUUAAUGGCUGUUUUUUAGCUAAGAAUCUUGGAGGUGAUUGAGCAUGAACCCAUCACUGUGGUCAUGUGAAGGAGUGGAGGGAAAGGAGUGGGGGAGGCACCAGGGCAUGCAUAAUACUUGAUCUAGGAAAGGUGCUCAUGGUCAGGUCUGGAAAGUCAGAAGCACCUGUCCUUCAGAUCAGAUCAUUCCUGUCCCUGUUGAAUGGCUUAUAAAAUGUGGGGUGUUUCACAUUCACAUUCACUGGGAUUUGAGUUUUGAUCAGGAGACAGGAUCAAAGAAUGGUCUGGUCCCUCCAUUUCAGACAUGUGUACAAAUAUGAGUGGUGCAUCAAGUGAGGAAGACAAUGCCUUUGCUUCAAGGAACUCCACGCUAAUCUCUCAGGCUUCUCAGUCAUCAUAUAUGAGAAUAUUUAUCUUAGAGGAGAGAAGACUCAGAGGGGUUGUGUCUGCCUUCUGAUACUUGAAAAGACUAUUAUAGGAAAGCAGGAUUAGACUCCAGAGGGCAGAAUUAGGACCAGUGGGUGAAAGCUAAAGGGAAGUAGAAGUCAGUUUGACAUUAGAUUCUUUGAAAACAAAAAAGGCCUGGGGUUGAACAACACCUUGGUGGCAGAUGUUCUAAAAAAAAACAUUGCAGCAUCAUAUGGGGAUUAGGUAAGACGAAGUUCCUGUUCUUAUUUAACCUUGAGAUUCUAUGAUUCAAAUCUGGUUUGGAAUCUUGAAUGGACCAACCUUCAUGCGUUUUCUGCUUCCCGGAUCAUAAAUAAUGUUUUAAAAACAAUCAUCAGGAAAAAAAUUACACAAACAAUAAUCUGAUUUGUACACACAUGUUCAUAGUCGCAUUAUUCACAAUAGCCAAAAGGUGGAAGAACCAAGUGUUCAUUGAUAGAUGAAUGGAUAAACAAAAUAUAGUGUAUCCAUUCAUAUGUGUACACACACACACACACACACACACACACACACACACACACACUGGAAUAUCAUUCAGCCUUAAAAAAAAUGAAAUUCUGACUCAUGCUAUCCUAUGGAUGAAACUUGAGGAUGUGAUGCUAAGUGAAAUAAGCCAGUCACAAAAAGACAAAUACUGUCUGAUUCCGAUUAUCUGAGGUACCUAGUGUAGUCAAACUCAUUGAGAGAAAAAGUAGAAUGGUGGCUGUCAGGGACUGGGGAAGUGGGGAAAGGGAGAGCUGUUGCUUAAUGGUGACAGCUUCAGUUUUACAAGAUGAGAAGCAUCCUGUGGAUGGAUAGUGGUGAUGGGGUGCAGCAUAUGUAUGCGCUUAACACUAUGAACUGUACACCAAAAAAUGGCUCAGAUAGUAAAUUGCAUGUGUAUUCUACCACAAUUUAAAAAUACCUAAAGAAAUAACAAUAAUUGCUCUAUCAGUUGGACUUCCCUCCUGCAGAAGUUAACAUGGAACAGAUAGUGAAGUUAAACACGUAAUAAAAGAGAUACAAA